UACGUAGGCAGCAAGCGUUGUUCGGAGUUACUGGGCGUAAAGGGUGCGUAGGCGGCUUCUUAAGUCUGGUGUGAAAUCUCCCGGCUCAACUGGGAGGGUGCGCCGGAUACUGAGGGGCUAGAGUGUGGGAGAGGAAAGUGGAAUUCCUGGUGUAGCGGUGAAAUGCGUAGAUAUCAAGAGGAACACCAGUGGCGAAGGCGAGUCCCUGGACAACACCUGACACUGAGGCACGAAAGCGUGGGGAGCAAACAGG
rnacentral:rRNA from 1 species